UAAUACAGAGGUCCCAAGCGUUGUUCGGAUUCACUGGGCGUAAAGGGUGCGUAGGUGGUCGGGUAAGUCUGAUGUGAAAUCUCCGAGCUUAACUCGGAAAUGGCAUUGGAUACUAUUCGGCUAGAGGGUUUGAGGGGGGACUGGAAUACUUGGUGUAGCAGUGAAAUGCGUAGAUAUCAAGUGGAACACCAGUGGCGAAGGCGAGUCCCUGGAAAACUCCUGACACUGAGGCACGAAAGCUAGGGGAGCAAACAGGAUUAGAUACCCUGGUAGUCCUAGCUGUAAACGGUGCAUAUUUGCUGUAAAAGGAAUCGACCCCUUUUGUGGCGAAGCAAACGCGUUAAAUAUGCCGCCUGGGAAGUACGGUCGCAAGAUUA
rnacentral:rRNA from 1 species